rnacentral:SRP_RNA from 1 species
GCUGGGCGAGGUGGUGGGCGCCUGUAGUCCCAGCUACUCGGGAGGCUGAGGCAGGAGAAUGGCAUGAACCUGGGAAGAGGGAGCUUGCAGUGAGCCAAGAUCGCGCCACUGCACUCCAGCCUGGGUGACAGAGCGAGACUCUGUCUUAAAAAAAUANNNNNNNNNNUAUUUUUUUAAGACAGAGUCUCGCUCUGUCACCCAGGCUGGAGUGCAGUGGCGCGAUCUUGGCUCACUGCAAGCUCCCUCUUCCCAGGUUCAUGCCAUUCUCCUGCCUCAG